UACGGAGGGUGCGAGCGUUGUCCGGAAUUAUUGGGCGUAAAGCGCGCGCAGGCGGUUCUUUAAGUCUGAUGUGAAAGCCCCCGGCUCAACCGUGGAGGGUCAUUGGAAACUGGGGAACUUGAGUGCAGAAGGGGAAAGUGGAAUUCCAAGUGUAGCGGUGAAAUGCGUAGAGAUUUGGAGGAACACCAGUGGCGAAGGCGGCUCACUGGCCCGGUACUGACGCUGAGGCGCGAAAGCGUGGGGAGCAAACAGG
rnacentral:rRNA from 1 species